AUGUUACUACUCGCUAAGAAUGACCGCGGGUCAGGCCACAGGAUCCAGGGGAUACCCGGUAACAGAAGCUGUCAUAUUUAUCGCUGGCGUCUUCAGAGCCAGCUUUAGUAGCUGGAGACAGAGCACACAAAAGGACUAUUCAGCGCAGCCCAUGGUCUGAAAUGAAACAGAUGCGCUGUGGAAGUUUGCAAACUCCCCGGCACAGAAGGUUGGCAGAUCUGCGCUCCGUAACCAGGGCCCAUCUUCUUGGCAGAGCCCUCCGCACCCCGGUGCCAGCAGCACUGCUCCUGCUGUGCAGACGAAGGGCGGUCUGGAGGACAAAGCACUCAGCUUGGCAGUUAAAGGCAGGGAGAACUAAACCAAGGCUGAGAGCCCACUCGAGCUUUUAAGCCCUCCCACCGAUUUUGGAUGGUAAGCUGGUAUUUCAGGAAUUAGUACAACCAAAGGCACCUGGUCUGGUUUUACGGACUGGAACGCUCUUGGAAAGCAAUCAGAUACGAUUUGGACAAAAACAAUGGAGGCCCAGACACAGAGGCUGCCCUGGGAGAGUAUACCAGCUGUCUGCUCAGUUUCAAACCUCUAAUCAUGUUCUUGGAGAGAAAGCAAGGGGACCUGUUAGGGGUUGCUGAGCUCCGAGCUCAGGGCCAGGUCCAGGCAGUGGAGCCCACGAGAGGGAGUCCUCCCAGCACAGAGGCAGCCCCAGCGCCUUGGACUUGAAUUUCUGGCACCCGGACAGCAGUAAAUGAGACCAAGUUUCUGAAUAUUCACCACGGGCUGGGGACGAGGCAAGGGGAUUAAAAACAGUGGCAGAAGCAAAGAUGAAAUAGUGGAAAUGGGGAGAGCAGCAGGAUGAAGGCUGGCAGCACACGGAUGGGCAGAGCACCUGCUGGCAUGGCACGCAUUGCUCCCAGGGAACCCAGACUACUGGUACUGCCUCAAAGCAAAGCAAAGCCUUGACAGAGAUAUUCGAAGCCCUGCCAUGCCAUCCUCCAACUCUUUAAAAAAAUCUUUACCCCUGCUUGCAAACUACACAGGAGCAUUCAACAGCUGGCAGACUGCAAAGCCGCUCCUACGCAGAUCAUUCUAAGAGACCCUGCUUCUCUCCCCAUUGAUUUCCUUAGGCCAUGCUUCGUCUCGAUGCAGCGUGUGACAUCACAUGAAGAUAUCUCACUUUGCCUUCCGUUCACUCCAAUGAGAUGCAGGCAAUUACCUGAGCCCUUUGUUAGGAAUCUAAUUCUCUUGGGCCCUGCAGAAGAUCAGCAGUGUUUCCAAAGGCGAUUCAGCUCACCCCAUCGCCCUCUGUGCUACUAACAUGGGUACACCAAGCAUGAGGAGGGGUGAAGUCAUCCAGCUUUGUGCACACACGAUUCUGAUCUCUGUACAGGACCUCCUGUUGCUGCCACUAAGAUCCCAAAGCAGCAAGCCCCAUACAGAGCGCUGGCACCUUGCUCUACAGCAUGUUCAAUACCCUGCAGUGAUGCCCUGGAUCUGUCCCUUUUCUGCUGGGCCCUGGACCCUCCCUGUUAUCACCAGGAGAGACACGUGCUCUCAGAGCAAUAUUCGAUCUGCCAGGAGUCUGAGUUGCCUCCUGCACCAUAUUUCUCACCACUGACCCAAAAGUAUGCUUGGUGGAACAGGACUGUGAUCCAGGACAUGUAAUCUCGUGCUUCAUGUUACAGCAAAUCUACAACUAAGAGCUUGCACAUGCAGCGUGAGAGAAUGAGAACUGCUCUGGAGUACUUGCACUAUAAAAUGCUGCAUGCCUGAGAGGUUUUUGGACUCCAAGUAAGCCACAAAUAUGAAGUGUGAAUGGUUUACACUGGCACCUGGUCUUCUCAGCAGCUGAAUAUGCAUAAACUGUGUUGAAGUUAACCAAAGGAACGAUCAAAGCACCAGGAAGCUAUCAUAGAAGUGAGUCCUGCUUAUGGGAACUGUAAGAAACCAAACGCUGUGAGGAGUGUGAUUCAAAUCCUUACCACCAGACUAAGGCAUAACUUCCCCUGAAGCCACCGAAGACACAGGCUUGCACCAAUUGCAGAUCUGGUCCUGUUUGAAACGCUUUCAAAGAAACCAAAUUGCAUUCAGUUUCUUAGGAACUGCCCCAGAUCUCACAUUACCAGCAUCCAAAGACAGAAAUCAAAGCACAGCAUACUUCAAGGUAUGAAUCAGCAAAAGAACUCCUGGAUUUCUAAGAUGGAUUUGAUAAACUGCUGUUCCCUGCACUACUAUUAUUAUUUGUAUUUUUCAGAGAUCUCAUAGCAUUCUCAGUACUUUGCAAACAAUGUCAUAAUUCACAUCCUUUUCCACACAAAGUAUCCAUUGGGGUUAAUGCAAAAAACUAAAAGCCAUCCAAAAGAGCAGAAAAUCCAAAGCUGACUCAGUUUGUCUCAUUAUAAAGCACUUUCUAAGCAUCUUCUCAUCAACCAUUUCCUUACUAGAAAUCAUUUGACUCAAUACCAGUUUUAAAACCUUUUCAGUCUUACAGCUACGUAACUCCUUCCUGAAACAAGCCAACUUCAGUUGUAGCAUUUUUUAACACCUUUACAUUUGUAUGCAGGCCCAGUUUCAGCCCUCAGGAUGCUACUCACAGAACUCAGUCACGCCAGGGAAGGGGGUUACUGAUCACGGUGGUGAUUCUAUGACAUCUGCAAUGCACAGCACUGCUCUUGCCUUUGAAUACAACUCCAGCCUCGCCUCAGCGAUCCCUCCUUUGUGGUGGCAUUCCUUUCUCAUCCAGCUGCCAAAAGGAGAUCUGAAAUGAACAUCGUAAACAUUGAUUUUUUCCUGCUAAGCAUCCAAAACCAUAUCCGAGAUAAACAAACAAAGCAAAACACUUGGCCUGAACCAUAUUCUGGCUCCAAACUAAUCUGGAUAAGAAAUUUGUGGUUGAGAUCUGUCAUAUUAAAGCCAGUGAAGUAAAUCUAUCUCAGAUGUGUCCAUUUCUGUGAUUCCGGGGACCCAAAAUAUUGUGUGAGGUGAUUAACAUUCUUUGCCAUCAUUCUGGAUGUGACUCAUAGGUAGGUCUGCGCCACAGGGUCAGGGACACCCCAGUUGUGUCUGAGAGACCUAAUCCAGACCCAGAAACACCAAGCAGCAUGUAAGAAGAUGUAGGUUUUCCAUGGGCAGUCUAGUUUCUGGAAUCAGAGCAUCUCUGCGACCCUGUGCCAGAACUAGCUCUGGGAUCUAUUCCGCCCCAAGGACAUGCCCUUAGGCCUGGGGACAUCUCACUUACCUUCAGGAACCUGCCUGAAGCGCCUCAGGUGAGAGACAUCCCCAAGGCACUCAUGCAAUCAACAGCCAGAGGUACCUUUGGAGAUGCCAAUCUCUCAUAUUAGCUACAAUGCCUUAGGGCAGUUCAAGCCCAAUGAUCUAAGCCAGCAAGUGCCUCAGAUCCAGCUUUCCUUUGUGCUGUUAUCCUGGCAGUUUUUUGGCUUCUGCCCAAAAAUGGAGCACCUUGGGGAUCUCGCAUCACAGCCCAAGCUUUCCAAAUAGCAUUAUCUGCAAAGCCGUAAGGACAUGAGUGGAUCAUCAGUUCUCAUACAGAGCAUCUUUCCUUCCCAUCGAUUUUCCAUCACUGCUCUAACUUCCAGGAAACACAAAGGAUCUCCUGUGGCACGUGGGACUCGAUGGCAGGACUCUGCUAAAACCAAAGAUGCUGAGAGGCUGCAGAGCUCCAAACGUGCUGCACCUUGUACUCGCCGCUUCCACUGAGUUGAACUUUUCCCUAAAAAGAACUAAUUAACACUGGACAGCCCCACAGCAAUUCCUCAUCUGCUCUGGAGCAGAGUAGCCCAUCACUAUGGUGAUACAACAUUAAAGGGCUGGGUCCAAAAUGCUUUUCUGGCAGGAAGAUGCAUGCAUCAGGCCAAGAUUGGGGAUGCCAGGCGAGCUGCUUGUAACUCUGGAGGAGAUGCUCCAGGCUUACCCCAGUGUCACUGAGAUUAGCCCUGGCCCGUGGCCUUUGAGGACAGUUCCAUCCUGGCAGGCAGAUGGCUCGCCUUCUAAUUUGGAGGGGCUGAAUGACUUUCCAAACCUUUGAUUCCUGACUGAUGUAUUCACUUCAGGAGACACAAAAGUACAAAAUCUCAGCAUGGAGUGACUCCCGUGCUUUCUUUUUCCUUCCUUCCCACCCCCCCCGCGCCUUGUCUUUUCUUUUCUUCUCUCCCUGGACAGUUUUAUAAUUUUGGCUUGCAGCCAGAAUGUCUGUCCUUAUUAGCUUGGGCUGGCUGUGAAACACCUGCAGCCCAUUAGAGCGGGAGGAUGAAAAAAAGUCAACUGUCAUAGGUAAAGUAAUGACCACUUAUUUCUUUGUUUUAACAUACUAAAGGGACAUUCGAGAAGGGAAGGCAAAAAUGACAUAGCUUCCCCAUCAUGCCUGACACUGACUGGACUCAACUGAAGACACCGGGUCGUAUUUUUAUCUGAUAAGUGACUCUAAUAAACAGUAAUACCUUCA